rnacentral:rRNA from 1 species
GAUGAACGCUGGCGGCGUGCUUAACACAUGCAAGUCGAACGGAAAGGCCUCAGCUUGCUGGGGUACUCGAGUGGCGAACGGGAGAGUAACACGUUGGUGAUCUGCCGCGCACCUUGGGAUAAGCACGGGAAACUGGGUAUAAUACCGAAGAUGACCACCUAUUGGAUGAUGGGGAGGAAAGCAUUUGUGGUGUGGGAUGACCCUGCGGCCUAUCAGCUUGUUGGUGGGGUAAUGGCCUACCAAGGCGGCGACGGGUAUCCGGCCUGAGAGGGUGUACGGACACAUUGGGACUGAGAUACGGCCCAGACUCCUACGGGAGGCAGCAGUGGGGAAUAUUGCACAAUGGGCGCAAGCCUGAUGCAGCGACGCCGCGUGGGGGAUGAAGGCCUUCGGGUUGUAAACUCCUUUCGCUAUCGACGAAGCCACUUGUGGUGACGGUAGGUAGAUAAGAAGCACCGGCUAACUACGUGCCAGCAGCCGCAGUAA